rnacentral:lncRNA from 1 species
AUAAAUCAAGGAGAUAAACUGAACGUUUUACAUAUGAAUUUCAUAUCACUUCUACUACUAGUUACAAACCAUUUAUUUUAGAAGAACUAACUUGGACAAAGGUUAUAGAAACUAAGGAAAUAAGGCAUGGAGCAAAAAUGGAAUAAUCCUUCAUGCUUCAACUCUUCCAAUCGAUUCAUUCUUCAAAUUCUUACUUCACUGUGAGUAAGGUUACAUAGUUUUGUACCUGGGAAAGCAAAGUAAAAGGAAAGAGAGAGGAUCAAUAGAGUAGAAUAAUAUCAGCAAGUUCAGCAGUAGAAAUCAACAACAAGCAACAAGAAAAUAGGUCCAAUACCCAGGAUAAUGGAAAAUAGUUCAAUAUUUCAGGUUCAGGACAGACAAAGAACCCAGCAGACUUCUAAACCAGACUUUGAUAACCAAGUUUAAGCCAUUUCUUACUCAGAUGAAUCAAAAUAGUUCCAGAAGUUAAUAAAGAAUUAGAAUUACUGAAAAUUUAAUGAAACAAUAGCUCUUUUUCUUAAUUCUCAACCGUUCUAUUUUCUGAGUUUUUUAGCUCUUUU